rnacentral:rRNA from 1 species
GUCGGUGUUUAUGGUUAUGAGGUUCCACCUGUUCCCAUUCCGAACACAGCAGUUAAGCUCAUACGCGUCGAAAAUACUUGGUUGGCGACGACCCGGGAAAAUAGAUCAAUGCCGGCA